rfam:Rattus norvegicus chromosome 12, whole genome shotgun sequence.
GGGGAUUUGGCUCAGUGGUAGAGUACUUGCCUAGCAAGCGCAAGGCCCUGGGUUCGGUCCCCAGCUCCA